AAUAUCAAAGGUGAGCCAGUACAGGAUGGACCCGCGUCUGAUUAGCUAGUUGGUAAGGUAACGGCUUACCAAGGCGACGAUCAGUAGCCGACCUGAGAGGGGGAUCGGCCACAUUGGAACUGAGACACGGUCCAAACUCCUACGGGAGGCAGCAGUGGGGAAUAUUGCACAAUGGGCGAAAGCCUGAUGCAGCAACGCCGCGUGAGUGAUGAAGGCCUUCGGGUCGUAAAACUCUGUCCUCAAGGAAGAUAAUGACGGUACUUGAGGAGGAAGCCCCGGCUAACUACGUGCCAGCA
rnacentral:rRNA from 1 species